rnacentral:rRNA from 1 species
AACGAACGCUGGCGGCAGGCCUAACACAUGCAAGUCGAGCGAGGACUUCGGUCCUAGCGGCGGACGGGUGAGUAACGCGUGGGAACGUGCCCUUUGCUUCGGAAUAGCCCUGGGAAACUGGGAGUAAUACCGGAUGAGCCCUUUGGGGGAAAGAUUUAUCGGCGAAGGAUCGGCCCGCGUUGGAUUAGGUAGUUGGUGGGGUAAUGGCCUACCAAGCCGACGAUCCAUAGCUGGUUUGAGAGGAUGAUCAGCCACACUGGGACUGAGACACGGCCCAGACUCCUACGGGAGGCAGCAGUGGGGAAUCUUAGACAAUGGGGGAAACCCUGAUCUAGCCAUGCCGUGUGAGCGAUGAAGGCCUUAGGGUUGUAAAGCUCUUUCAGCUGGGAAGAUAAUGACGGUACCAGCAGAAGAAGCCCCGGCUAACUCCGUG